rnacentral:rRNA from 1 species
CCUACGGGGGGCAGCAGUGGGGAAUAUUGGACAAUGGGGGGAACCCUGAUCCAGCCAUGCCGCGUGUGUGAAGAAGGCCCUCGGGUUGUAAAGCACUUUCAGUGAGGAAGAACGCCUGGUGGUUAAUACCCAUCAGGAAAGACAUCACUCACAGAAGAAGCACCGGCUAACUCCGUGCCAGCAGCCGCGGUAAUACGGAGGGUGCGAGCGUUAAUCGGAAUUACUGGGCAUAAAGCGCGCGUAGGUGGCUUGAUAAGCCGGUUGUGAAAGCCCCGGGCUCAACCUGGGAACGGCAUCCGGAACUGUCAAGCUAGAGUGCAGGAGAGGAAGGUAGAAUUCCCGGUGUAGCGGUGAAAUGCGUAGAGAUCGGGAGGAAUACCAGUGGCGAAGGCGGCCUUCUGGACUGACACUGACACUGAGGUGCGAAAGCGUGGGUAGCAAACAGGAUUAGAUACCCGAGUAGUC